rnacentral:rRNA from 1 species
AUUGAACGCUGGCGGCAGGCCUAACACAUGCAAGUCGAACGAGUGGCGGACGGGGGAGUAAUGUCUGGGAAACUGCCCGAUGGAGGGGGAUAACUACUGGAAACGGUAGCUAAUACCGCAUACCAUCGGAUGUGCCCAGAUGGGAUUAGCUAGUAGGUGGGGUAACGGAGCACCUAGGCGACGAUCCCUAGCUGGUCUGAGAGGAUGACCAGCAACACUGGAACUGGGACGCGGGCCAGACUCCUACGGGAGGGAGCAGUGGGGAAGAUUGAACAAUGGGCGCAAGCCUGAUGCAGCCAUGCCGCGUGUAUGAAGAAGGCCUUCGGGUUGUAAAGUACUUUCAGCGAGGAGGCGUUACUCACAGAAGAAGCACCGGCUAACUCCGUGCCAGCAGCCGCGGUAAUAC